rnacentral:rRNA from 1 species
GACGGAGGUGCCAAGCGUUAGGCGGAAUCACUGGGCUUAAAGCGUGUGUAGGCGGGUCGUUAAGUACCUUGUGAAAUCCCACGGCUCAACCGUGGAACUGCUUGGUAUACUGGCGAUCUUGAGCCAGCUAGGGGCUACCGGAACAAACGGUGGAGCGGUGAAAUGCGUAGAUAUCGUUUGGAACGCCAAUGGUGAAAACAGGUAGCUGGGGCUGUGCUGACGCUGAGACACGAAAGCCAGGGGAGCGAACGGG